AGUGCUUUCAGCUAUUUCAUAUGGAAAUAGUAAUACAUUAACUCUCAGCCCAGAGGACUGUAAGUCUCUUGUUAUUGUGGCAUAUCUAUUAAAAGAAAAAAAAAAAAAAAAAGAGAGAGAGAGAGAGAGAGAGAGAGAGGGAAAGAAGGGAGUGAACACAGCUCCUUGGUGGUGCUCAUGAUAAAGCAUUCUCAGCUGGAUCUGACAUUCACCUUGGGAUAUGAAAUAUUGUAAAACCAGGCACAAACAAACAAAAACCCUCUUGCUCUGACAUCCUAACUCCACUUUCUCAAAAUGAAGCAUGAAUGAAGAAAAAGAUAGAAAGAAGACACAUGUCACAAGUUUCCUAGGCAUAGUGAAGUACAGGAAAGGGUUGAGGAUGGAAGAAUAUAAAGCAUCAGUGAUAGGAUAGGCAAGGGGAAUAAAUAAUAAAGAAUAGAGAAUGAAAAACAAAAGAAUAAAGAACUAAGAAUUAAGAAUAAAGAAAACAACUCACUGCACCUCCAGCUUCCAAAUCAAAAAGUGAUCACCUGGAUUUUGAUGACUAAGAAAUAUCAGUGAUCUUUGCUACCAAUGCUAACUGAAAGCUUGAGUUCUAUUGUAUUGUAUGCUUAUAGCUAAUUUAGGAAAAGCUUGUUAUG
ensembl:lncRNA